rnacentral:rRNA from 1 species
CUAUACAUGCAGUCGAGCGGACAGAAGGGAGCUUGCUCCCGGAUGUUAGCGGCGGACGGGUGAGUAACACGUGGGUAACCUGCCUGUAAGACUGGGAUAACUCCGGGAAACCGGAGCUAAUACCGGAUAGUUCCUUGAACCGCAUGGUUCAAGGAUGAAAGACGGUUUCGGCUGUCACUUACAGAUGGACCCGCGGCGCAUUAGCUAGUUGGUGAGGUAACGGCUCACCAAGGCGACGAUGCGUAGCCGACCUGAGAGGGUGAUCGGCCACACUGGGACUGAGACACGGCCCAGACUCCUACGGGAGGCAGCAGUAGGGAAUCUUCCGCAAUGGACGAAAGUCUGACGGAGCAACGCCGCGUGAGUGAUGAAGGUUUUCGGAUCGUAAAGCUCUGUUGUUAGGGAAGAACAAGUGCAAGAGUAACUGCUUGCACCUUGACGGUACCUAACCAGAAAGCCACGGCUAACUACGUGCCAGCAGCCGCGGUAAUACGUAGGUGGCAAGCGUUGUCCGGAAUUAUUGGGCGUAAAGGGCUCGCAGGCGGUUUCUUAAGUCUGAUGUGAAAGCCCCCGGCUCAACCGGGGAGGGUCAUUGGAAACUGGGAAACUUGAGUGCAGAAGAGGAGAGUGGAAUUCCACGUGUAGCGGUGAAAUGCGUAGAGAUGUGGAGGAACACCAGUGGCGAAGGCGACUCUCUGGUCUGUAACUGACGCUGAGGAGCGAAAGCGUGGGGAGCGAACAGGAUUAGAUACACUGGUAGUCCACGCCGUAAACGAUGAGUGCUAAGUGUUAGGGGGUUUCCGCCCCCUUAUAGCUGCAGCUCACGCAUUAAGCACUCUCCCGGGGGAGUACAGUCGCAAGACGGAGACUCCAUAGAGAU